UGUGCUUUACUUUAGUUGGGC
rnacentral:piRNA from 1 species